GAUCCUGGCUCGGGACGAACGCUGGCGGCGUGCCUAACACAUGCAAGUCGAACGGAGAAUUUUAUUUCGGUAGAAUUCUUAGUGGCGAACGGGUGAGUAACGCGUAGGCAACCUGCCCUUUAGACGGGGACAACAUUCCGAAAGGAGUGCUAAUACCGGAUGUGAUCAUCGUGUCGCAUGGCAGGAUGAAGAAAGAUGGCCUCUACAAGUAAGCUAUCGCUAAAGGAUGGGCCUGCGU
rnacentral:rRNA from 1 species